rnacentral:rRNA from 1 species
GACAGAGGGGGCAAGCGUUGCUCGGAAUCACUGGGCGUAAAGGGCGCGUAGGCGGGAUGGCAAGUCGGGCGUGAAAUCCCUCGGCUCAACCGAGGAGCGUCGGCCGAUACUGUCGUUCUUGAGGGAUGAAGAGGAGACUGGAAUUCCCGGUGUAGCGGUGAAAUGUGUAGAGAUCGGGAGGAACACCGGUGGCGAAGGCGGGUCUCUGGGCAUCUCCUGACGCUGAGGCGCGAAAGCGUGGGGAGCAAACGGG